rnacentral:rRNA from 1 species
AACGAACGCUGGCGGCAUGCCUAACACAUGCAAGUCGAACGAGACCUUCGGGUCUAGUGGCGCACGGGUGCGUAACGAGUGGGAACCUGCCCUUAGGUUCGGAAUACCUCCCCGAAAGGGGUGCUAAUAACGGAUAAUGUCUUCGGACCAAAGAUUUAUCGCCUUUGGAUGGGCCCGCGUUGGAUUCGCUAGUUGGUAGGGUAAAAGCCUACCAAGGCGACGAUCCAUAGCUGGUCUGAGAGGAUGAUCAGCCACACUGGGACUGAGACACGGCCCAGACUCCUACGGGAGGCAGCAGUGGGGAAUAUUGGACAAGGGGCGAAAGCCUGAUCCAGCAAUGCCGCGUGAGUGAUGAAGGCCUUAGGGUUGUAAAGCUCUUUUACCCGGGAUGAUAAUGACAGUACCGGGAGAAUAAGCUCCGGCUAACUCCGUG